rnacentral:rRNA from 1 species
CUCCUUGGUGAUUCAUAAUAACUUCUCGAAUCGUAUGGUCUUGUACCGACGAUGCUUCAUUCAAAUUUCUGCCCUAUCAACUUUGAUGGUAGGAUAGAGGCCUACCAUGGUUUUAACGGGUAACGGGGAAUUAGGGUUCGAUUCCGGAGAGGGAGCCUGAGAAACGGCUACCACUUCUAAGGAAGGCAGCAGGCGCGCAAAUUGCCCAAUCCCGACACGGGGAGGCAGUGACAAUAUAUAACAAUACGGGACCUUACGGUCUUGCAAUUGGAAUGAGAACAAUUUAAAUCCCUUAUCGAGUAACAAUUGGAGGGCAAGUCUGGUGCCAGCAGCCGCGGUAAUUCCAGCUCCAAUAGCGUAUAUUAAAGUUGUUGCAGUUAAAAAGCUCGUAGUUGAAUUUCGGACUCGGUGGUCAAGUCUUCCUUUUUGGUCGUACUUGAUUCGUCUUGUCUUAUCUUCUAGAAGGCUUACAUGUCCUUAAUCGGGCGUGUACUGUUUUCUAGGACUUUUACUGUGAAUAAAUUAGAGUGUUCAAAGCAGGCAAUCGCUUGAAUACAUUAGCAUGGAAUAAUAAAAUAGGACUUUGGUUUUAUUUUGUUGGUUUUAAAGACCAAGGUAAUGAUUAAUAGGGAUAGUUGGGGGCAUUAGUAUUUCGGAGUCAGAGGUGAAAUUCUUGGAUUUCCGAAAGACUAACUAGUGCGAAAGCAUUUGCCAAGGAUGUUUUCAUUAAUCAAGAACGAAAGUUAGGGGAUCGAAGACGAUCAGAUACCGUCGUAGUCUUAACCGUAAACUAUGCCGACUAGGGAUUGGUGAGUGUUAGUUUUGACCUCAUCAGCACCUUACGAGAAAUCAAAGUUUUUGGGUUCUGGGGGGAGUAUGGUCGCAAGGCUGAAACUUAAAGGAAUUGACGGAAGGGCACCACCAGGAGUGGAGCCUGCGGCUUAAUUUGACUCAACACGGGAAAACUUACCAGGUCCAGACAUAGCGAGGAUUGACAGAUUGAUAGCGCUUUCUUGAUUCUAUGGGUGGUGGUGCAUGGCCGUUCUUAGUUGGUGGAGUGAUUUGUCUGGUUAAUUCCGAUAACGAACGAGACCUUAACCUGCUAAAUAGAAGCACAAAGGCAACUUUGUAGUUUCUUCUUAGAGGGACAAAGUAUUUUUAAUACUUGGAAGUUUGAGGCAAUAACAGGUCUGUGAUGCCCUUAGACGUUCUGGGCCGCACGCGCGCUACACUGAUAAAGACAGCGAGUAUACAACCUUAACCGAUAGGUUUGGGUAAUCUUGUGAAACUUUAUCGUGAUGGGGAUAGAGCAUUGCAAUUAUUGCUCUUCAACGAGGAAUUCCUAGUAAAUGCAAGUCAUCAGCUUGCGUUGAUUACGUCCCUGCCCUUUGUACACACCGCCCGUCGAUACUACCGAUUGAAUGGUUUAGUGAGGCCUCCGGACCCGCUACAUUGCCGAAAGG